rnacentral:lncRNA from 1 species
GCAAAAGUUGUGGCCGGUCCAGCAGGAGUUAGCGACAGGGAGGGAUGCGCGCCUGGGUGUAGUUGUGGGGGAGGAAGUGGCCAGUUCAGGGCCUCAAGGGACAGACAGGGAGAAAUGACUGAGUUGGAUGAGACUAGGGGGCGGGCUGGAGGUGCGAGAAGGAAGCUUGGCAAGGAGACUAGGUCUAGGGGGACCACAGUGGGGCAGGCUGCAUGGAAAAUGUCCGCAGGAGCCCCCAGGGAGGACAGCCACGCUCCAGGCCAGGCUGUCCCUACUGCCUGCUGGAGGGGGAACUUGACCUCUGGGAGGGCGCCGCUCUUGCAUGGCUGAGCGAGCCCGGGUGCGCUGGUCUGUGUGGAAGGAGGAAGGCAGGGAGAGGUAGAAGGGGUGGAGGAGUCAGGAGGAAUGGGCCGCUGCAGCCCUGGAAAUGAUCAGGAAGGCAGGCAGUGGGUGCAGGGCUGCAGGAGGGCCGGGAGGGCCGAGCUUCAACUUGUCCAUGCCAGCAGCCCCUUUUUUUCCAGUCCAAGGGCUGUGAACCCGCCUGGGGAUGAGGCCUGGUCUUGUGGAACUGAACUUAGCUCGACGGGGCUGACCGCUCUGGCCCGGGGUGGUGGCAGUGCUCCUUUUGGACUUUUCUCUAGGUUUGGCGCUAAACUCUUCUUGUGAGUUCACUCCACCCCUUCUUCCUCCCUUUAACUUAUCCAUUCACUUAAAACAUUACCUGGUCAUCUGGUAAGCCCGGGACAGUAGCCGAGUGGCUGUUGGAGUUGGUAUUGUUGGUAAUGGUGGAGGAAGAGAGGCCUUCCCGCUGAGGCUGGGGUGGGGCGGAUUGGUGCUUGCCUGCAGAGAGGGUGGGGAGUGAAUGUGCACCCUUGGGUGGGCCUGCAGCCAUCCAGCUGAGUGUUACAAAAAUGCCUCAUGGACCGUGGUUUGUUACUAUAGUGUUCCUCAUGGCGAGCAGAUGGAACCGGGAGACAUGGAGCCCCUGGCCUGUGUGAGUCCUAGCAGUGCAGGAGGGGAGACCCUGGAGGAGAGAGCCCGCCUCAAUUGAUGCCUGCAGAUUGAAUUUCCAGAGGCUUAGGAGGAGGAAGUUCUCCAGUGUUCUGUUUCCAGGCCUUGCUCAGGAAGCCCUGUAUUCAGGAGGCUACCAUUUAAAGUUUUCAGAUGAGCUUAUGGGGGGCAAUCUUAAAAAGUCCACAGCAGAUGCAUCCGGCUCGAGGGUCCAUCGGCUUUGAAUAAAUGCUUGUUCCAGAGCCCAUGAAUGCCAGCAGGCACCCCUCCUUUCCUGGGGUAAAGGUUUUCAGAUGCUGCACCUUCUAAAUUGAGCCUCCGGUCAUACUAGUUUUGUGCUUGGAACCUUGCUUCAAGAAGAUCCCUAAGCUGUAGAACGUUUUAACGUUGAUGCCACAACGCAGAUUGAUGCCUUGUAGAUGGAGCUUGCAGAUGGAGCCCGUGACCUCUCACCUACCCACCUGUUUGCCUGCCUUCCUGUGCGUUGCUCCGAGAAGUUCUUAGCCUGAUGAAAUAACUUGGGGUGUUGAAAAGCUGUUUAAUUUUAAAUGCCUUAGACUGGGGAUAUAUUAGAGGAAGCAGAUUGUCAAAUUGAGGGUGUCAUUGUGUUGUGCUAAACUCUGGGAGGGUACAAGUUGGUCAUUCCUAAAUCUGUGUGAGGAAUGGCAGGUCUAGUUUGGGCAUUGUGAUUGCAUUGCAAAUUACUAGGAGAAAGGAAUGGUGGGUAUACUGGUAGUGCUCUUUUGUUCUUGCUCCUUUUUUUUAAACUUCAACUUUACUUUUGUUAGAUUUCA